GCUAAUGAAUGAAUAUGAUCAUUUAAAAGAAAGUCUCUUUCAAUAUGAGACAGAAAGCAGAAGCAGAAAGAGUAGUGGUUGUGAGACAACUUCAACAAGAAGUGGCUGACAGCCUAAAAAAAUUAACUAUGUUAGAGUCUCCACUGGAAGGUACAUCAUGUUGUCACAUUAAUUUGGGUGAGACACAGGCCUCAAAGAAGAAAUUAUUUCAAGUGGAAAGUCAAAUAUAAGAAACUCCUGGAAUUGACAAUAAAUAUGUUAAGUGUAUUUGGAAAUGAAGACUUCGGUUGCCAUGGAGACUUAAAAACAGAUCAACUGAAAAUGGAUAUUCUGAUUAAGAAGCUAAAACAUAAGUUUGAUGAUCUUACAGCAGAGAAGGAAGCUGUAUCUUCAAAAUGUGUCAAUUUGGCUAAAGACAAUCAAGUUCUUCCACAGGAGUUAUUAUAUAUGAAAAAAGUACGACAGGAAUGUGAAAAACUUGAGGAGGAUAAAAAGAUGUUGGAAGAAGAAAUAUUAAAUCUUAAGACACAUAUGGAAAACAAUAUGGUAGAACUUAGUAAACUACAAGAAUAUAAAUCGGAGCUAGAUGAAAGGGCAGUGCAGGCAGUAGAAAAAUUAGAAGAAAUCCAUUUACAGAAACAAGCAUAAUAUGAAAAACAAUUAGAGCAGUUAAACAAGGAUAAUACGGCUUCACUAAAUAAGAAGGAACUCACACUUAAAGAUAUGGAAUGUAAAUUCUCCAAAAUGAAAACUACUUAUGAAGAGGUUACAACCGAAUUAGAAGAAUAUAAGGAAGCCUUUACAGCAGCAUUGAAAGCUAACAAUUCCAUGUCAAAAAAAUUAACGAAAUCGAAUAAGAAAAUAGCAAUGAUCAGCACCAAACUCCUUAUGGAGAAAGAGUGGGUGAAAUAUUUUCUCAGCACUCUUCCUACAAGGCGAGGCCCAGAGUCACCUUGUGUUGAAAAUCUUACUAGUAUAGGACUCAACAGAAAAUAUAUUCCCCAAAUGCCUGUAAGAAUUCCACUUCAAACCCUCAGACUUCAAAUAACUGCAAGAACUACUUGACUGAGAUGGAGCUGGACUGUGUAAAACAAAUAAUUAGAGAAACAUAGAGAACUGUUGCUGUGUUGGACACUUGCUCCCAUCUACUUUCUUCUCUAGAAUCCACUGCCAUUUUGCAGACCCUGGUCGGAGUGAAACAUUCCAUGGGAACUUGGGCCAUGAGAAACAUCCUUCAUAACCACAUGACUGCAGGAACAUCCUUAUCGCAUCCUCCCAGGCAAAGGCCCAACAGCCUGACUGCAAGGACAUCCUUGCCAUAUCCUGCUGGGCAGCAAGCUCUACCACCCAGACCCCUCCCUUCCAGUCCCAUGAUUAGCCCAGCCUGUGAGUGGCAGUUGGUGCUGCCAUUAAGCUGGUUUCCUUCUCCCCAGGGUUUUGCUGGCAAUAAAGAUGUUGCUGUUGAAGCCACCAA
rnacentral:sRNA from 1 species